CCUGCAGGAUGGAAAAAGUAGAAAACAUUUGACCGUCUUUCAUCUGAGAACAAAUGAUAACAGAAGCUCGUCGUUCCUCACCUUGCAGCUGCAGCAGCAGCGUGAUCAACAGAGGACUCAGUAACAUCAUAGCUGAGAAAAGUUUGACCGUCAGACUGCAGAGGAGCUUCUCUGAGUUUCACUUUAAACUGAUCCAGGAGCAGCGAAGCACAGCAAUCAUUCAAAGCAGCAAACAGUCAAACAGACACCUGGUGUGUGAGGAGAUGAAAGUGGGUGUGUUGCGGCCCACCCUGACCGUCCUCCCCCCCUCCAAAGAGCAGCAGCAGCAGCAGAGCAGCGUCACACUGGUGUGUCUGGCCAGCGGGGGCUUCCCCUCCACCUGGACGCUGGGCUGGAAGGUGGGGGGCAGCAGCAGGUCCUCAGGGGUGUCUAGCAGCCUGGAGGUGCUGGGGGGGGACGGCCGCUACAGCUGGAGCAGCACCCUGAGCCUCCCUGCAGACCAGUGGAGGAAGGCGGGCUCAGUGAGCUGUGAGGCCAAUCAGAGUGGACAGAGUCCUGUCACUCAAACCCUGGAGCCUGACCGCUGCUCAGAGUAGAGCUGCAGCUUCAUGGCUGGAAACCAUCAUGUUGUCGUGUUUCAUUCACAAACAUUACUUUUCACCUUUCAUUCGUAUUCCUUAUGUUCUCUCAUGUAACUUGGAGUAAAUGGAUUGUUUCAAUAAAAGUGCAGAUUUAUGUCAA